GACAGAGGGUGCAAACGUUGUUCGGAAUUACUGGGCGUAAAGCGUGUGUAGGCGGUUCUCUAAGGCGGAUGUGAAAUCCCUGGGCUCAACCCAGGAAGUGCACUCGAAACUGGAGGGCUAGAGUAUCGGAGAGGUUGGUGGAAUUCUCGGUGUAGAGGUGAAAUUCGUAGAUAUCGAGAGGAACACCGGUGGCGAAGGCGGCCAACUGGACGAAUACUGACGCUGAGACACGAAAGCGUGGGGAGCAAACAGG
rnacentral:rRNA from 1 species